AAGGCUUUUUGCUCCCUCGGGGUGAGGUGUGGUUUUGGCCGAAGAUGAGGUGUUUUGGUAGCCCUGUGGAUGCUGUGUGGUGUCUGGAAUGGGGCGUGUAUGUUCCCAUCAUGCCCCUUCCCCUCUGCUUGCAGAGCUGAGGACAGACAGGUCUGAGGAGCAGAGCAGGAGCUGUGGGAAGGAGAAGAGCAAUAUGAAGAUGGAGUGUAAGAUGAGGCCAGCAAGGGAAAAGAA